rnacentral:piRNA from 1 species
GAGACUGGCUCAGGACCUGUAGAA